rnacentral:lncRNA from 1 species
UAGAAGAGUGGGAGUGUGGUUAAUAGAGGGUGAAGCCCCACCCCCAAUAUGUGAGGACAUGGGGGGGGUGUUAAACACUGUGUCACCCCCCCCCAGUACGCCCAGGCCUUGGCUGAAUUCAUCCGGAGCCAAAGCAUCCGAGAGCUCAAAGUGUGGACCAGCCAGCUGAAGAGAACAAUCCAGACGGCUGAAGCUCUGGGGGUGCCCUAUGAGCAGUGGAAGGCCCUCAAUGAGAUAGAUGCGGUGAGGGAUUUAAGGGGGGGGGUCUCCAAAUAGCCCCCUGUACCAUUUAAAUGCCCUCAAUGAGUGUCAGUCUGGAAGGGGGGGGUCUCCAAAUAGCCCCCCUGUACCUCUUAAAGGCCAUCAAUGAGUGUCAGUCUGGAAGGGGGGGGUCUCCAAAGUAGCCCCCUGCAGCUCCUAAAGGCCAUCAAUGAGUGUCAGUCUGGAAGGGGGGGGGUCUCCAAAUAGCCCCCUGUACCAUUUAAAGGCCCUCAAUGCGUGUCAGUCUGGAAAGGGGGGGGGUCUCCAAAUAGCCCCCUAUCCUCCUAAAGGCCAUCAAUGAGUGUCAGUCUGGAAAGGGGGGGGGUCUCCAAAUAGCCCCCUAUCCUCCUAAAGGCCAUCAAUGAGAUCUAUGUAUUGUCAGCCUGGGAGAGGGGGAGUCUCCAAAUAGCCCCCCUGUAGCUCCUAAAGGCCAUCAAUUAGAUUGAUGUGGUGAGUGUAUGACUUUAAGGGGGUGAGGGGGGAGUCUCCAAAUAGCCCCUGUAGCUCCUAAAGGCCAUCAAUGAGUGUCAGUCUGAAAGGGGGGGGUCUCCAAAUAGCCCCCUAUCCUCCUAAAGGCCAUCAAUGAGUGUCAGUCUGGAAGGGGGGGGGUGUCCAAAUAGCCCCCUGUAGCUCCUAAAGGCCCUCAAUGAAUGUCAGUCUGGAAGGGGGGGGUCUCCAAAUAGCCCCCUGUAGCUCCUAAAGGCCCUCAAUGAGUGUCAGUCUGGAAGGGGGGGGGGUCUCCAAAUAGCCCCCUGUAGCUCCUAAAGGCCCCAAUGAGUGGUGUGGGGAUGGUAGGGGUCCGAUGCUGUCAGGGUGUGCAGUGUGUUCUGUGGGUUAUAUU